UUCAUCUGGUGUGUAUAAACAUAUUCUUUCUAUGUAUCGCAACCCCCUCAUUUUGAAUCAUUAUUCUAAACAACUUGAAACAAACAAUUAUCUUGCAAAAUAUUAAUAGAUCCAACAGAAACUACUUUUAACAACUUGGCAACCGAAUAUACAAACAAAAACUAAGAGAUUAGGCUAUAGCAUACUAACAUAGUGACAAGCUGUCCAUACUUAUACAUUAGCAUGAGUAGUCAUUCAAAACACAACUGAAUUUCACAAACAAAAAAAAAACAAACUUGCAGAACUGAUCAUUCACAAAGGAUAACUAAUGCGUAUGUCUAAAACUAAAUUCUUACUUGCUAAAUGGGAUGAAAAUAGAAUAAAACAAUACUACUACUUAAAAUCUGGAAUGCAGCCCAAGCAUUCACAUGAUAUUCAACAAAUGAUCCAGAUCCUUUAGUACACAAAUCAUUGGCCAAGACCCUGUUCAGUACACAUACUUGAACAGCAGAAAAAGAAAAUGAGAACAAAGAAAAGUCAGCACCAGCAACAUAGUACUAGCAGCAAUGUAACAGUGUUCAACCAGCUGAAAACCAUCCAGGCCUCAAACCAAACUUCACACAACUCGAAAUCAGACCUCUAGACUUAGAUUUCAAUCCAUUUAUGAACUCAAAUCAUUCAGAAAUUCUUCAGAAAAUUGAAAACCUCUAGAAUUAUAGAAAUGCAAUGGAAUAGUGAUAUUUUUUAGUAUUUACAGCCGUUGUGUUUUUCUUUGAUUUUUC
rnacentral:lncRNA from 1 species